rnacentral:lncRNA from 1 species
AUGGCUAACGAGCUUCAAAAACACAAUUGUCGGAAGUUCAAAGACAUCGUUGAGUCUGUUCUGGGUGAGAAGCUGCUGUACAGGGAAACAAGGCUGACACAGAAGCUCAGGCUGGCCCAGAAUUUGAGGGAAUGCAGUUUCCAAUUUCAAGAGCAAGACCAGAAGCUGGCCCUGUUUCAGCAGAAAUUACAACAGGGGAGAGAUGCCGCGUUUCUACUGUGUCAGCAUCUCAAGGACCUCUUCACCUGGGAUCACCUUCAUAGCAGCCAGGGUCACGGCUUCCGUGAGCUACUGAUUGAAGCUGAAGGCUGGCAGAGGACCUUGUAUAAAUGCUUAGCUCAGAGAACCAUAAAGAUGAAGAGAAGAAAAAAGAAUAUGAAUCACUGUACCCCAGGUAACAAUAUAUAUUCAGGAUCUGGAUUAGGAUGAGUAACAUAUGA